rnacentral:rRNA from 1 species
ACUCCUACGGGAGGCAGCAGUGGGGAAUAUUGCACAAUGGGGGAAACCCUGAUGCAGCCAUGCCGCGUGUGUGAAGAAGGCCUUGGGUUGUAAAGCACUUUCAGUAGGGAGGAAGGUAGUGUAGUUAACACCUGCAUUAUUUGACGUUACCUACAGAAGAAGCACCGGCUAACUCCGUGCCAGCAGCCGCGGUAAUACGGAGGUGCGAGCGUUAAUCGGAAUUACUGGGCGUAAAGCGCAUGCAGGCGGCCUGUUAAGUCAGAUGUGAAAGCCCGGGGCUUAACCUCGGAAUUGCAUUUGAAACUGGCAGGCUAGAGUCUUGUAGAGGGGUUAGAAUUUCAGGUGUAGCGGUGAAAUGCGUAGAGAUCUGAAGGAAUACCGAGUGGCGAAGGCGGCCCCCUGGACAAAGACUGACGCUCAGAUGCGAAAGCGUGGGAGCGAAACAGGA